UAGGGAAUCUUCGGCAAUGGGGGGAACCCUGACCGAGCAACGCCGCGUGAGUGAAGAAGGUUUUCGGAUCGUAAAGCUCUGUUGUUAAGGAAGAACGAGUGUGAGAAUGGAAAGUUUUUGCUGUGACGGACCUUAACAAGAAAGGGACGGCUAACGACGUGCCACAGCCCGGGGUAAUACGUAGGUCCCGAGGGUUUUCCGGAUUUAUUGGGCGUAAAGUGAGCGCAGGCGGUUAGAAAAGUCUGAAGUGAAAGGCAGUGGCUCAACCAUUGUAGGCUUUGGAAACUGUUUAACUUGAGUGCAGGAGGGGAGAGUGGAAUUCCAUGUGUAGCGGUGAAAUGCGUAGAUAUAUGGAGGAACACCGGUGGCGAAAGCGGCUCUCUGGUCUGUAACUGACGCUGAGGCUCGAAAGCGUGGGGAGCGAACAGG
rnacentral:rRNA from 1 species